CAGUCGCCGCGGGAAUACGUAGGGUGCAAGCGUUAAUCGGAAUUACUGGGCGUAAAGCGUGCGCAGGCGGUUAUAUAAGACAGAUGUGAAAUCCCCGGGCUCAACCUGUGAACUGCAUUUGUGACUGUAUAGCUAGAGUACGGCAGAGGGGGAUGGAAUUCCGCGUGUAGCAGUGAAAUGCGUAGAUAUGCGGAGGAACACCGAUGGCGAAGGCAAUCCCCUGGGCCUGUACUGACGCUCAUGCACGAAAGCGUGGGGAGCAAACAGGAUUAGAUACCCCGGUAGUCCCUGUCUCUUAUAC
rnacentral:rRNA from 1 species